rnacentral:lncRNA from 1 species
CCAGCAGGCUUGGGUCCAAGGCCACCUCUGUGUCCCCGGCCCUCAGCGCUGGAAUCCCGUGGGUGGCUUCUGUGAAAAACUCCUACUGAGUGACCGCUGGGCGUGGAGUGACGUGAGUGGGCUCCAGCACCGGCCGCUGGAUGGGGUGGCGCUGCCCUCGCCGCACUGGGAGUGGGAGUCUGACUGGUACGUGGAUGAAAAUUUUGGAGGCGAACCCACCGAGAAAGGGGGGUGGACGUACGCCAUCGACUUUCCCGCCACCUACACGAGAGACAAGAAGUGGAAUUCUUGUGUGCGGCGCCGAAAAUGGAUCCGGUACAGGAGAUACAAGUCCCGGGACAUCUGGGCCAAGAUCCCCUCGAAGGACGACCCCAAGGAGCUGCCCGACCCCUUCAACGACCUCUCUGUAGGGGGCUGGGAGAUCACAGAGGAGCCUGUGGGCCGCCUGUCAGUGUGGGCUGUGUCUCUGCAGGGCAAGGUAAGGCCAACCCCUCUCGCUGCCCCAGUUCCCCACAACCCCACCUCCGUGGGUCCUGUCCUGUGCACCCCCUGGGUCUUGCUCCUCCCAGGAGCCCCGGCCCCCCGACCCCAUGCCUGCUCCUGGCCUUUCUCUCCGAGACCCCAGCAUGCUGAUCAGUGCCCA